CUAGCUUGAAGAUAGAUACUAUCUAGUGUGAUUUUGCCACCGAGCAGCUGGUUUGAUUGAGUGGAAGAAGGUGGGUAUGUCCAUAAAUUAAAAACCAGUUUUUUGACUCAUUUAACUCCUCCAUGACCGGUAGCUCCUUUAUGACUCCACGAUAGCCCAUAGGCAAUUGCAAAAGCUUUCUUUUCCUUUGCUACCCUUUCGCCCCAUGUUUGUGAAUUUGGAGAGGAAAGAAAGGAUAGUCUUGAACAUUAGGAAAAGAAACAUUUGAGUGAAAGUUAAACUUCCUUUUUUCGUGAGUUUAGGAAGAAAUAGUAAGUUUUCUUGCCUAAUUUUGUUUGGAAGUGCAAUUGAAAAGAAACGAAA
rnacentral:lncRNA from 1 species